rnacentral:rRNA from 1 species
CCUACGGGAGGCAGCAGUGAGGAAUAUUGGUCAAUGGGCGCGAGCCUGAACCAGCCAAGUCGCGUGAGGGAAGACGGUCCUAUGGAUUGUAAACCUCUUUUGUCGGGGAGCAAAAGACGCCACGCGUGGCGUUCCGAGAGUACCCGAAGAAAAAGCAUCGGCUAAAUCCGUGCCAGCCGCAGCGGGAAUACGGGGGAUGCGAGCGUUAUCCGGAUUUGUUGGGUUUAAGGGGAGCGCAGGGGGAAGAUCAAGUCAGCGGUAAAAUUGAGGGGCUCAACCGGUUCGAGCCGUUGAAACUGGUUUUCUUGAGUGAGUGAGAAGUAUGCGGAAUGCGUGGUGUAGCGGUGAAAUGCAUAGAUAUCACGAAGAACUCCGAUGGCCAAGGCAGCAUACCGGCGCUCAACUGACGCUCAUGCACGAAAGUGUGGGUAUCGAACAGGAUUAGAUACCCCUGUAGUC